UUGUGUUUUUGUUCAGAGCUUUGCCAACCUAAGCUGUGCUGACAUGUCCUUUUUAGAGCGAAGAGGUUUUCUCCAGGAACCAUUCCAAACAAGCCAUACUUGUUCAGCUUUUUUCAAGUUGUACCGUUAUGAACUUUAACAUUUAACAUGCUAACUGAAGCCUGGAGAGUCUGAGGUGUUGCCGUUUGGUCUGAUCUUGGCCUGAACUUGCUGGGAUGUCCACUCCAGCUAAAAUGGCAACUGGCUGGAAGGUUCUCCUCUUGUAAAUUAUCUCUCUAAUUGAUUGGAGAUUACCUUUUAACUUGUCCUAGAUUAAUAGGCAGCAACAGCUUCUUUAAAAUUAUUUC